rfam:Malassezia globosa CBS 7966 mgl_sf_11.1, whole genome shotgun sequence.
AACCCUAUCGAUAAUAAUAAUUGUACCAAAUUUUCGAUGAGACUAUCCAUUGCAUGAAUAGAGAACGGCUGAACGCCUCUAAGCCAGAAUCCGUGCUAGAAGCGAUAACAUUGGUCCCGCACAUGCCUUGUGUUGGAAUAGAGCUUUUGCUCGUACACCAUACGACAGGUAGGGCACAGUUCCGGAAAGGGUGCUGUGUCCCCUGUACAUUACAAUGUGAAACAUGCGCGGGGGAAAAUCCUUUGCAGACGACUUGAAUGGGAACUGGGUGCUGUAAGCAGUAGAGUAGCCUCGUUGCUACGAUCUGCUGAGGCUAAGCCCGGGUUCUAAAGAUUU